GAUGAACGCUGGCGGCGUGCCUAAAACAUGCAAGUCGAGCGGCAGCAUGACCUUCGGGUUGAUGGCGAGCGGCGGACGGCUGAGUAACGCGUAGGAAUAUACCCCAAAGUGAGGGAUAACUGCCCGAAAGGGUGGCUAAUACCGCAUGUGAUCUUCGGAUCAAAGCUUUAUGCGCUUUGGGAAUAGCCUGCGUUCGAUUAGCUAGUUGGUGAGGUAAAAGCUCACCAAGGCGACGAUCGAUAGCUGGUCUGAGAGGAUGAUCAGCCAGACUGGAACUGAGACACGGUCCAGACUCCUACGGGAGGCAGCAGUUGGGAAUUUUCCACAAUGGGCGAAAGCCUGAUGGAGCAACGCCGCGUGCAGGAUGAAUGCCUUCGGGUUGUAAACUGCUUUUAUGUGAGAAGAAUAUGACGGUAACACAUGAAUAAGGGUCGGCUAACUACGUGCCAACCGCCGCUGUAA
rnacentral:rRNA from 1 species